rnacentral:rRNA from 1 species
UGUCGGCGCUGACAAUGCAGUCGAGCGGUAGCACAGGGGAGCUUGCUCCUGGGUGACGAGCGGCGGACGGGUGAGUAAUGUCUGGGAACUGCCUGAUGGAGGGGGAUAACUACUGGAAACGGUAGCUAAUACCGCAUAACGUCGCAAGACCAAAGAGGGGGACCUUCGGGCCUCUUGCCAUCAGAUGUGCCCAGAUGGGAUUAGCUAGUAGGUGGGGUAAUGGCUCACCUAGGCAACGAUCCCUAGCUGGUCUGAGAGGAUGACCAGCCACACUGGAACUGAGACACGGUCCAGACUCCUACGGGAGGCAGCAGUGGGGAAUAUUGCACAAUGGGCGCAAGCCUGAUGCAGCCAUGCCGCGUGUGUGAAGAAGGCCUUCGGGUUGUAAAGCACUUUCAGCGAGGAGGAAGGUGGUGAACUUAAUACGUUCAUCAAUUGACGUUACUCGCAGAAGAAGCACCGGCUAACUCCGUGCCAGCAGCCGCGGUAAUACGGAGGGUGCAAGCGUUAAUCGGAAUUACUGGGGCGUAAAGCGCACGCAGGCGGUUUGUUAAGUCAGAUGUGAAUCCCCGGGCUCCACCUUGGGAACUGCUUUUGAACUGGCAAGCUAGAGUCUCGUAGAGGGGGUAGAAUUCCAGGUGUAGCGGUGAAAUGCGUAGAGAUCUGGAGGAAUACCGGUGGCGAAGGCGGGCCCCUGGACGAAGACUGACGCUCAGGUGCGAAAGGCGUGGGGGAGCAAACAGGAUUAGAUACCCUGGUAGUCCACGCUGUAAACGAUGUCGAUUUGGGAGGUGGUGCCCUUGAGGCGGUGCUCCCGGGAGCUAACGCGUUAAAUCGACCGCCUGGGGGAGUACCGCCGCAAGGUUAAAACUCAAAUGAAUUGACGGGGGCCGCACAGCGGUGGAGCAUGUGUUAUUCGAUGCACGCGAGACCUAACUACUCUGACAUCAGAGACUUCAGAAUGGAUGGUGCUUCGACUCUGAACAGGUGCUGCAUGCUGCCGCAGCUCUGUGUGAAAUGUGGUGAAGUCCGCACAGGCCAACCUAUCUUGUGCACAGGUCGCCGACUAAGAAGCGUCAGUGUAACUAGUGAGGUGUGAAUCUAGCUCAUCAUGCUCAAGAUAGGUUCAACGGUCUACGUCGAGAGACCUGAUAGCACCUUAGAUAC